rnacentral:rRNA from 1 species
UACAGGGGGGGCAAGCGUUGUUCGGAAUUACUGGGCGUAAAAGAGCGCGCAGGCGGCUGGUCAAGUCCGAUGUGAAAUCUCCCGGCUCAACUGGGAAACUGCAUCGGAAACUGAUCGGCUUGAAGAUGGGAGAGGGUAGUGGAAUUCCCGGUGUAGUGGUGAAAUGCGUAGAUAUCGGGAGGAACACCAGUGGCGAAGGCGACUACCUGGCCCAUUCUUGACGCUGAGGCGCGAAAGCUAGGGGAGCGAACGGG